rnacentral:rRNA from 1 species
UACGAAGGGGGCUAGCGUUGCUCGGAAUCACUGGGCGUAAAGCGCACGUAGGCGGAUCUUUAAGUCAGGGGUGAAAUCCUGGAGCUCAACUCCAGAACUGCCUUUGAUACUGGGGAUCUCGAGUCCGGAAGAGGUGAGUGGAACUCCGAGUGUAGAGGUGAAAUUCGUAGAUAUUCGGAAGAACACCAGUGGCGAAGGCGGCUCACUGGUCCGGUACUGACGCUGAGGUGCGAAAGCGUGGGGAUCAAACAGG